rnacentral:rRNA from 1 species
GACGAACGCUGGCGGCGUGCUUAACACAUGCAAGUCGAACGGAAAGGCCUCUUUCGGGGGGUACUCGCGUGGCGAACGGGUGAGUAACACGUGAGUAACCUGCCCUUGACUUUGGGAUAACUUCUGGAAACUGGGGCUAAUACCGGAUAGGAGCUCCUGCUGCAUGGUGGGGGUUGGAAAGUUUUGGCGGUUGGGGCUGGACUCGCGGCUUAUCAGCUUGUUGGUGGGGUAGUGGCUUACCAAGGCUUUGACGGGUAGCCGGCCGGAGAGGGUGACCGGCCACAUUGGGACUGAGAUACGGCCCAGACUCCUACGGGAGGCAGCAGGGGGGAAUAUUGCACAAUGGGUGGAAGCCGGAUGCAGCAACGCCGUGUGCGGGAUGACGGGCUUCGGGUUGUAAACCGCUUUCGCUCAUGACGAAGCUUUGUGUGACGGUAGUGGGUAAAGAAGCACCGGCUAACUACGUG